AUGGAAGAAGAGCCUGACAAUUCCAAUGCCAUGGAUGAACAAGAGGAGAGCACAGGCAGCGCCCCUGGCCCAGUGUUCUCGGGUCUGAAGCUGAAAAGGCUCCGAUCCAAGGUGUGGGACGACUUCACGCCCAUCUACAUCGACGGGAAGCUCGCGCGGGCCGAGUGCAUGCACUGCCACCAGGUCUUCAGCAGCGGCACCGGCAACCUGCGAAAGCACCAGGCCAAGUGCACUCCCAGAGCCCAGAAGAGGCCAAUGCAACACAAGCCCCCGUUCUUGUCGGCGGGCCAACAUAAAUCCUCAGACGCAGCAAAGGCAUUGCCCCAGGAGAAGUUUCCUGUCCUGAUUGACAUUCUCAUCGAUACGAAUGAGGAAAGUCAGAAGGUUGAUCAGAAUUUGUCUCACGGGGAGCUUGGGACACAUGAGCAGAAGAAUCUUGCUUCAUGUGACACUCCCACUGACAAAGAUCGGAAGAAUCAGUCCCAUGAGGAACCUGCAGUGCCUGACCAGGACAUUCUCGCUAACAUGAAUCAGAAGAAUCUGAAGGUUGGUCAGAUUGAGCCCCAUGAGGAACUUGUCAGGAUAUUUUCUGUCCACGGGUACCCGCCAUCGAUACAGAUCCAUGAUAGAUUCUGUAAGUUUGUUGCUAGCUUGAAUCCUAUGGUGAAGAUGCCAGCCAAAGUUGACAUGUACAGGUACUCCAGGGAACUGUUUGACAAAGAAAAGACCAAGCUGAAGGAGAAGUUGGCAAGUUUACGCAGUCGGGUUUGCUUGAGUGCUUAUGUGUGGCACUAUGAUCUGUUCUCAGCGUUCCUAUGCUUGAGUGUUCAUUACAUUGAUGAUGAAUGGGAGAAGCAGACACAUAUCAUCAGGUUUCGUUCUGUUGAUCCUUCCUGCAAUGCAAAACAACUGAGCCAGGAUAUACUGAAUGCUAUUGGAGAUUGGGGUCUUCGUUACAAGGUUUUCAGCAUUACACUGGACGAUGCAUUUCUGGACGAUUCAGUUGCUUCAGAUCUGAAAGCCAGUCUCCAAGAAUGGAACCUUCGCUUGGCAAACCGGAGCUCGUGUAUGUCUGCAAAACAUACCUCAUCUAUGUCUGCAAACCGUAGCUUGUUUGUGGCACGGUCUCCAACUCAUCUAGUUAAUAAGGUCAUACAUGUGGGGGUGGAUGAACUGCACAAAGUCAUGGAGAAGUCAACAAAGUGUUCCAAGUACACAAAGGGCCACAUCCCUUCAGCCGUACGGUUUCUGAACUGUGGAUAUGCACCUUCAGCUGAAGAGUGGAGCAACGCGCAACGUAUCUGUAAGAUAUUGCAGAGGUUGCAUAUAUACAUGGAUGAGAUGAACACUUGUCAUUGCCCAGCCGACCUCCUUGACCAGUUAUGGGGUGCAAAACGAGCUCUACAUCCAGAGGAUAGUUUUUAUGGGGACAAAACAGUUUCGAAAGAGCUAAAAGAGAUGCAACAGAAAUUUACAGAAUGCUGGAAUCUCUAUUGCUUAAAUAUCUGUCUACCUGUGAUCAUGGAUCCUUCAAAGCGUCUGGAAUGCAUCAAGUCUUGUCUGCGUCCGAAGUUGUACAAUUAUUGCUUGAGGCACGAAUUGGACAAGGAUAUAGAAGAUUAUUUUCAGGAAGUGCAUGACAUGUUGAUCAACCUCUUCUAUGAAUAUUCUGAUCAGGUGGAAGACACUAGCAUCACAUCUGGGCCUAAAACUAGCAGGAACAUUGUUGUGAAGGGAGAUGAUAUGCUGAUGCAAUAUUAUCAUCAUAUUACCUAUCCAUUUAGCACGCGUCCAAUGAUAGAGCUUCAUCAGUACUUGCAAGAGCCAGGUCCCUGUACGGCUGAGCAAACCGUUCUACAAUGGUGGAAGGAACAUAGUCUGACCUACCCCACAAUCGCUCGGAUGGCACGUGAUAUAUUGGCAAUACCAGCCAGUACUGAAUGCGGUGUAGCAAUAAGGACUGCAAGACGAACAAUUUGUCAGUCUAGUAAACACUGGGUUGAGGAGACUGUCUGUACUCAGGAUUGGCUCACAUCUUAUGGUUCUUUAAGCGAAAUGCCAAACGGUGCUCUUUUUGAGUGA
rnacentral:rRNA from 1 species